rnacentral:rRNA from 1 species
AGCGAACGCUGGCGGCAGGCCUAACACAUGCAAGUCGAACGGACCCUUCGGGGUUAGUGGCGGACGGGUGAGUAACACGUGGGAACGUGCCUUUAGGUUCGGAAUAGCUCCUGGAACCGGGUGGUAAUGCCGAAUGUGCCCUUCGGGGGAAAGAUUUAUCGCCUUUAGAGCGGCCCGCGUCUGAUUAGCUUGUUGGUGAG